GGCUCAAGGAUGAUGAAAGAGCCCAAUUUUCUAGAAGAAAAAGAAAAAAAAAAAACACCACUGAGGCUUCUGGGAAAAUGCAGUCUCAUGCAGUGAAUCGACACGUCGUUUUCCUGAAACGUGGACAUGGGGGUGAAAGCUAGAGGCUUCUCUCUGACCUGGAGAAUUGCAGAAUUUCAACAAAUAGGCGGACGUUGACUAACAUUGAUAGAAACUGAUUGCACAUUUGCACCCUCCGACUCAAGUGAUCUCCCAUAAACCCUGCGCCUUCCCGUUUACCUAUGGUGAUGUCACCUACUACAGCUGCAUCUCCACCCGCAGUGACUUUGACUGGUGUUCUCUUGACAAGGAAUUCCAAGGCAGGUGGCGCUACUGCACAGGGCUAGAUUCUCCUCAGUGUGUCUUCCCCUUCGUCUUCAGACAAAAAGCCGUUCACAAUUGCACCAAGGAAGGCUAUAUUCUGAAUCGGAGUUGGUGUUCAUUGACAGAAAAUUACGAUAAAGAUAGGAAAUGGAAGCAAUGUUCUCCUCAGAAUACUUAGAUACCUCUUGGUGUUCUUGAAGAGACAGAAGUCACACAUUCAUCAGCUGCCUCUCAAAAUAUACUUCUAUCCUUUCCAAUGCUGACCAUUCUGAUCAAUAAAGAUUUGAUCUCUU